AUACUUACUUGGACUAGUUCAAUGGGUGAUCAUAAAGGUUCACAGCCCAGGCUGGUGACUUGCAUUGCACUUUGAAUGGGGCCAGCCUAAGGUCGGCCCAAGUGGUCGAGCCUACUUCAUAAUUUGUGGUAGCGGAGGCAUGUGCUUGUAUGGCCCCUAC
rfam:Capsicum annuum cultivar Zunla-1 chromosome 6, whole genome shotgun sequence